rnacentral:tRNA from 1 species
AAAGUUUUAAGUUAAAUAAACUAUUAACUUUCAAAGUUAAAAAUACAAAUUUUAUUUAUUUUGUAAGCUUUA